CGACGAGGAGCGUUUGCAUUUUGAAGAGCGAGGACUUUCCAGCAAGUUGCUACGAUGACUAAUAAAAAGAAGACUGAAGCCUGUCUAACUGGCAGGGGCCCACCACCACCUCCCCUCACCCCAUCUGAGGAGCUGGCUCUGUCCCUUAAUAAAGGGCGACCAGUGGAUGCUGGCAUUCCAGGGGACAGUUCAUCACACACACCAUGCACCACAAGUGAUGGUGAAAAAAUGGUGAAAUAUACUGAUGGACGUAUUGUAUUAUUGGACCCUCCAGAAAGAACACAGUCUGUCACAGUUGUAAUUGAUUUGUUGAGCUGUAUAAGGUCCAUCUCCAAAA